rnacentral:rRNA from 1 species
GAUGAACGCUGGCGGCGCGCCUAACACAUGCAAGUCGAACGGCACCUAUCUUCGGAUAGAAGCGAGUGGCGAACGGCUGAGUAACACGUGGAGAACCUGCCCCCUCCCCCGGGAUAGCCGCCCGAAAGGACGGGUAAUACCGGAUACCCCCGGGCGCCGCAUGGCGCCCGGGCUAAAGCCCCGACGGGAGGGGAUGGCUCCGCGGCCCAUCAGGUAGACGGCGGGGUGACGGCCCACCGUGCCGACAACGGGUAGCCGGGUUGAGAGACCGACCGGCCAGAUUGGGACUGAGACACGGCCCAGACUCCUACGGGAGGCAGCAGUGGGGAAUCUUGCGCAAUGGGGGGAACCCUGACGCAGCGACGCCGCGUGCGGGACGGAGGCCUUCGGGUCGUAAACCGCUUUCAGCAGGGAAGAGUCAAGACUGUACCUGCAGA